rnacentral:lncRNA from 1 species
UUCUCAUCUCAUUCCAUUUUUUUUUCAUUUUUCUCUCCUAAAAAUAUUUGUACAGAAGUUUAUUCAAUUAGACACUUCAUUAUCACCUAUUACAAUACAAAAGAAAGAGAAUCGAGAUUCAAGUUGAUUUUUGUUCUAGGCAAGAAGAAAGAUGAUCCCAGCUAGAGCAUUCAGUUUUUCCAGAAAUACAUUGUUAUCUAUCCCUUUCAAUCAUACAGCUAAAUCUUCUUCCCUUUUCUGUAUCUGGUCUUGUUUCUAUAGUCUUUUUGCAGCAUUAAACACUAUCCUGCCAUUUAGGCCAAUCUUCAAAAUCACCCUCUCCUGAAAAAGGGGGAUUUAUUAUUAAUAGGCUUUAUCUUAUGAUCGGUACUUGAUCUACUUACGCCACACAAUUGGACUCAACCAUGAUACCAAAAUUUUAAUCCCCAAUUUUUUUUUUCAUUUUAUGUUAUAUUUUAUUAUCUACAAAUGUUUAUUGAAAAUUUUACCUGAAGAAGGCUUGAUUGAGUCAUCAAAAGGAGAAAGUCUCACCAUCAAGUGCAUGUUUCAAUCAAUUUUGGAGUUGUUCCCGUUUAACCAAAGAUCUCAAAUUAUUGAAUAUGUAGUUGCAUUAACUGUCUCGAACAUGAUAUUUGAGUAUGGAGUUUGUGAUCUAAACCAACAAAAAAAAAGUGAGAGAAAUAUCUUCAUGAAUUGAAGUUAAUAUUAGUUUUUGUGUGAUGCAGGUAUAUGGCAGUUUCGUGUGCCAGGUUUCACCAUCUGAGAUAUGCAUGACGCAGGGGCG